rnacentral:rRNA from 1 species
GACGAACGCUUGCGGCGUGCCUAAGAAAUGCAAGUCGAGCGGGGAAGUAGCAAUACUUUCUAGCGGCGAACGGUCGCGUAACACGUAAGCAACCUGCCCCGAAGACCGGGACAACAGCUCGAAAGGGCUGCUAAUACCGGAUGUGGCCACCGGGAGACAUCUCCUGGUGAUUAAAACCAGCCCGCAAGGGUGUUGGGCUUCGGGAGGGGCUUGCGGCCUAUCAGCUAGUUGGUGGGGUAACGGCCACCAAGGCGACGACGGGUAGCUGGUCUGAGAGGACGGCCAGCCGGACUGGGACUGAGAUACGG